rnacentral:rRNA from 1 species
GAUAACCUUUGGCGGCGUGCUUAACACAUGCAAGUCGAACGAAUUUUUUCUUUCGGGAGGAACUUAGUGGCGAACGGGUGAGUAACGCGUGAGGAACCUGCCUCAAAGAGGGGGACAACAGUUGGAAACGACUGCUAAUACCGCAUAAGCCCACGGGUCGGCAUCGACCAGAGGGAAAAGGAGCAAUCCGCUUUGAGAUGGCCUCGCGUCCGAUUAGCUAGUUGGUGAGGUAAUGGCCCACCAAGGCGACGAUCGGUAGCCGGACUGAGAGGUUGAACGGCCACAUUGGGACUGAGACACGGCCCAGACUCCUACGGGAGGCAGCAGUGGGGAAUAUUGCACAAUGGGGGAAACCCUGAUGCAGCGACGCCGCGUGGAGGAAGAAGGUCUUCGGAUUGUAAACUCCUGUUGUUGGGGAAGAUAAUGACGGUACCCAACAAGGAAGUGACGGCUAACUACGUGCCAGCAGCCGCGGUAAAACGUAGGUCACAAGCGUUGUCCGGAAUUACUGGGUGUAAAGGGAGCGCAGGCGGGAAGACAAGUUGGAAGUGAAAUCUAUGGGCUCAACCCAUAAACUGCUUUCAAAACUGUUUUUCUUGAGUAGUGCAGAGGUAGGCGGAAUUCCCGGUGUAGCGGUGGAAUGCGUAGAUAUCGGGAGGAACACCAGUGGCGAAGGCGGCCUACUGGGCACCAACUGACGCUGAGGCUCGAAAGUGUGGGUAGCAAACAGGAUUAGAUACCCUGGUAGUCCACACCGUAAAC